GCAGUUUGACCCAUGUUUAACCUCAAUUUUGAACAAUCAAACAAAGUUUUCACGGAUCAAGCUUAUACGCAUCUGAAACUAGAUAGGAAGGACUACUAAUUUCUUAUUGGUCCAACAAACACAUGUAACUGUGGAAUCUUAUUUUAUUUUUGGGAUUUAGACAUGCUCCUGAGUCAAGAAGGGUGUAUUUCAGAUUUUAAACUAUAUUUGAGCAAAAU
rnacentral:lncRNA from 1 species